rnacentral:rRNA from 1 species
GACGAACGCUGGCGGCGUGCCUAAUACAUGCAAGUCAAACGCAGUGGGGACGGGGGAGUAACACGUGGGUAACCUCCCAUCAGAGGGGAUAACACUUGGAAACCGGUGCUAAACCGCUACUGAUGGAUGGACCCGCGGUGCAUUAACUAGUUGGUGAGGUAACGGCUCACCAAGGCCACGAUGCAUAGCCGCCCUGACAGGUUGAUCGGCCCCACUUGGACUGAGACACGGCCCAGACUCCUACGGGAGGCAGCUGUAGGGAAUCUUCGGCAAUGGACGAAAGUCUGACCGAGCAACGCCGCGUGAGUGAAGAAGGUUUUCGGAUCGUAAAACUCUGUUGUUAGAGAAGCGGUAUCUAACCAGAAAGCCACGGCUAACUACGUGCCAGCAGCCGCGGUAAUAC